rnacentral:rRNA from 1 species
UACCAGCACCCCGAGUGGUCGGGACGAUUAUUGGGCCUAAAGCAUCCGUAGCCGGUCCUACAAGUCUUCCGUUAAAUCCACCUGCUUAACAGAUGGGCUGCGGAAGAUACUAUAGGGCUAGGAGGCGGGAGAGGCAAGCGGUACUCAGUGGGUAGGGGUAAAAUCCUCUGAUCCAUUGAAGACCACCAGUGGCGAAGGCGGCUUGCCAGAACGCGCCCGACGGUGAGGGAUGAAAGCUGGGGGAGCAAACCGG